GUAUUAGAGUGAUGCAAAAUUAAUUGCAUUUCUGUCAUUGUUUUUAAUGGCAAAAAUUGCAAUUACUUUUACACCAACCUAAUAUUU
rnacentral:miRNA from 1 species